ACGGCGUACCUUUUGUAUAAUGGGUCAGCGAGUUAUUGUCUGUAGCAAGGUUAACCGUUUAGGGGAGCCGUAGGGAAACCGAGUCUUAAUAGGGCGUCAUAGUUGCAGGCAAUAGACCCGAAACCGGACGAUCUAGCCAUGGCCAGGUUGAAGGUGCCGUAACAGGCACUGGAGGACCGAACCCACUUAUGUUGAAAAAUGAGGGGAUGACUUGUGGCUAGGGGUGAAAGGCCAAUCAAACUCGGAGAUAGCUGGUUCUCCGCGAAAUCUAUUUAGGUAGAGCGUCGACCGAAUACCCUCGGGGGUAGAGCACUGGAUGGGCUAUGGGGACUCACCGUCUUACUGAUCCUAACCAAACUCCGAAUACCGAGGAGUACUAGUCGGCAGACACACGGCGGGUGCUAACGUCCGUCGUGAAGAGGGAAACAACCCUGACCUCCAGCUAAGGUCCCUAAGUCAUGGCUAAGUGGGAAAGGAUGUGAGACUCCCAAAACAACCAGGAUGUUGGCUUAGAAGCAGCCAUCCUUUAAAGAAAGCGUAACAGCUCACUGGUCUAAAUAAGGGGUUUUGCGCCGAAAAUGUACCGGGGCUAAAGCCAUGCACCGAAGCUGAGGAUGUGCAGUUUACUGCACGUGGUAGCGGAGCGUUCUGUAAGUCUGUGAAGGGAGACCCGUGAGGGCUCCUGGAGAUAUCAGAAGUGCGAAUGUUGACAUGAGUAACGAUAAAGGGAGUGAGAGACUCCCUCGCCGAAAGACCAAGGGUUCCUGCUUAAAGUUAAUCUGAGCAGGGUGAGCCGGCCCCUAAGGCGAGGCCGAAAGGCGUAGUCGAUGGGAACCACGUUAAUAUUCGUGGGCCUGGUGGUAGUGACGGAUCUCGUGUGUUGUAUCUCCUUACUGGAUUGGAGAUGCAGCGAAGAGGUUCCAGGAAAUAGCUCCACCGUAUAGACCGUACCCGAAACCGACACAGGUGGUCAGGUAGAGUAUACCAAGGCGCUUGAGAGAACUGCGUUGAAGGAACUCGGCAAAUUGCACGCGUAACUUCGGAAGAAGCGUGACCCUCACUCACGCAAGUGGAUGAGGGUGGCACAGACCAGGGGGUAGCGACUGUUUAUCAAAAACACAGGGCUCUGCGAAGUCGCAAGACGACGUAUAGGGUCUGACGCCUGCCCGGUGCCGGAAGGUUAAGAGGAGAGGUGAGAGCUUUGAAUCGAAGCCCCGGUAAACGGCGGCCGUAACAAUAACGGUCCUAAGGUAGCGAAAUUCCUUG
rnacentral:rRNA from 1 species